CCUACGGGUGGCAGCAGUGAGGAAUAUUGGUCAAUGGUCGGGAGACUGAACCAGCCAAGCCGCGUGAGGGAUGAAGGUACAGAGUAUCGUAAACCUCUUUUGUCAGGGAACAAAGGCGGGGACGUGUCCCCGGAUGAGUGUACCUGAAGAAAAAGCAUCGGCUAACUCCGUGCCAGCAGCCGCGGUAAUACGGGGGAUGCGAGCGUUAUCCGGAUUUAUUGGGGUUAAAGGGUGCGCAGGCGGUGUGUUAAGUCUGCGGUAAAAGCCCGGGGCUCAACCCCGGCCCGCCGUUGAAACUGGCAGUCUCGAGUUGGAGAGAAGUAUGCGGAAUGCGCGGUGUAGCGGUGAAAUGCAUAGAUAUCGCGCAGAACUCCGAUUGCGAAGGCAGCAUGCCGGCUCCACACUGACGCUGAGGCACGAAAGCGUGGGUAUCGAACAGGAUUAGAUACCCCAGUAGUC
rnacentral:rRNA from 1 species